GACGAACGCUGGCGGCGUGCCUAACACAUGCAAGUCGAGCGAGAGGAGUUCCUCGGAACAAAUCUAGCGGCGGACGGGUGAGUAACACGUGGGCAACCUGCCUUAUAGAGUGGAAUAGCCUUCCGAACGGAAGAUUAAUACCGUAUAAUAUUGCAGCUUCGCAUGAAGCAUUAAUUAAAGGAGCAAUCCGCUAUAAGAUGGGCCCGCGACGCAUUAGCUAGUUGGUGAGGUAACGGCUCACCAAGGCGACGAUGCGUAGCCGACCUGAGAGGGUGAUCGGCCACAUUGGGACUGAGACACGGCCCAGACUCCUACGGGAGGCAGCAGUGGGGAAUAUUGCACAAUGGGGGAAACCCUGAUGCAGCAACGCCGCGUGAGUGAUGAAGGUUUUCGGAUCGUAAAACUCUGUCUUUGGGGACGAUAAUGACGGUACCCAAGGAGGAAGCCACGGCUAACUACGUGCCAGCAGCCGCCGUAA
rnacentral:rRNA from 1 species